rnacentral:rRNA from 1 species
GACGAAGGGGGCUAGCGUUGUUCGGAAUUACUGGGCGUAAAGCGUGCGCAGGCGGUGGCUCAAGCCAGGCGUGAAAUCCCCGGGCUUAACCUGGGAAUGGCGUUUGGGACUGGGUCGCUAGAGUGUGGCAGAGGGAGGUGGAAUUCCACGUGUAGCAGUGAAAUGCGUAGAGAUGUGGAGGAACACCGAUGGCGAAGGCAGCCUCCUGGGCCAGCACUGACGCUCAUGCACGAAAGCGUGGGGAGCAAACAGG